rnacentral:misc_RNA from 1 species
GAAAGUCACUACGCUGCGUAAGAGAAGCCAAAUAAAGCGCAUGCUGUGUACAGAGGGUGUCGAGAAUGCCUCCUACGUGACGGAAAGCAGAUCCGUGGUUCCCUGCAGACUGGCAGGAGCAGAUUCCAAAGGCACAGGAAGAAGCUUGCAGGCAGCUGCUCCCAACCCCAGAACCUUUGCUGUCUUGGGACGGAUCACCGCUGCAAGAGGGGAAGUUGCUACUGUGAUGAAUUCUGCCAUGUGGCACCAGACUGCCACCCAGACCACAGUGUCCUCUGCAACCCUGCUUCUCAGAUGACCAAGAUGGUGCUGCAGAUGGUGCUGAGGAUGGAGAACCCACCAAGCCCCGCUAGGAGCCACCUAGACUGGAUGCAGAGCAUGGUUCAGCGAGUUCUCCAAACCAGCCUCCCAGGAAUGCCAUUCACCAUGGCUGUGAGGAGAAUAAAGAAGAGAGCCUGACUCCUCUCCUGAGGCCCCUUCCCCACC